UCUAGUAUAGCAAUUAUACCGSGAAACUGCGAAUGGCUCAUWAAWYCAGUUAUCGUUUAUUUGAUAGUACCUUACUACUUGGAUAACCGUGGUAAUUCUAGAGCUAAUACAUGCUAAAAAUCCCGACUUCGGAAGGGAUGUAUUUAUUAGAUUAAAAACCAAUGCCCUUCGGGGCUCUUUGGUGAUUCAUAAUAACUUCUCGAAUCGCAUGGCCUUGCGCCGGCGAUGGUUCAUUCAAAUUUCUGCCCUAUCAACUUUCGAUGGCAGGGUCUUGGCCUGCCAUGGUGACAACGGGUAACGGAGGGUUAGGGCUCGACCCCGGAGAUGGAGCCUGAGAAAUGGCUACAACAUCCAAGGAAGGCAGCAGGCGCGCAAAUUACCCAAUCCCGAUUCGGGGAGGUAGUGACAAUAAAUACUGAUACAGGGCUCUUUUGGGUCUUGUAAUUGGAAUGAGUACAAUUUAAAUCCCUUAACGAGGAACAAUUGGAGGGCAAGUCUGGUGCCAGCAGCCGCGGUAAUUCCAGCUCCAAUAGCGUAUAUUAAAGUUGUUGAGGUUAAAAAGCUCGUAGUUGAACCUUGGGCCUGGCUGGCCGGUCCGCCUCACCGCGUGCACUGGUUCGGCCGGGCCUUUCCCUCUGGGGAACCCCAUGCCCUUCACUGGGUGUGGUGGGGAACCAGGACUUUUACUGUGAAAAAAUUAGAGUGUUCAAAGCAGGCCUAUGCUCGAAUACAUUAGCAUGGAAUAAUAGAAUAGGACGUGUGGUUCUAUUUUGUUGGUUUCUAGGACCGCCGUAAUGAUUAAUAGGGACAGUCGGGGGCAUCAGUAUUCAAUCGUCAGAGGUGAAAUUCUUGGAUCGAUUGAAGACUAACUACUGCGAAAGCAUUUGCCAAGGAUGUUUUCAUUAAUCAGGAACGAAAGUUAGGGGAUCGAAGACGAUCAGAUACCGUCGUAGUCUUAACCAUAAACUAUGCCGACUAGGGAUCGGACGAUGUUAUUUUUUGACUCKUUCGGCACCUUACGAGAAAUCAAAGUUCUUAGGUUCUUGGGGGAUAUG
rnacentral:rRNA from 1 species